CAAUAGCGUAUAUUAAAGUUGCUGCAGUUAAAAAGCUCGUAGUUGGAUUUCUAGCGAGGCACGAGAAUAUCCACCUAUGGUGAAUACUUCUCUCGCCUUGCUCUUCUUUAGUUGAUGUCUCUGGCAUUAAGUUGUCGGAGUCCUGAGACUAAUCGUUUACUGUGAGAAAAUUAGAGUGUUCAAAGCAGGCUUAUGCCGUUGAAUAUAUUAGCAUGGAAUAAUAAGAUAGGACUUCGGUACUAUUUUGUUGGUUUGCGUACUGAUGUAAUGAUAAAUAGGGACUGGCGUGGGUAUUCGUAUUUUAAUGUCAGAGGUGAAAUUCUUAGAUUAUUGAAAGACGGACGACUGCGAAAGCAUCUACCAAGUAUGUUUUCAUUAAUCAAGAACGAAAGUAUGGGGAUCGAAGAUGAUUAGAUACCAU
rnacentral:rRNA from 1 species